rnacentral:sRNA from 1 species
GUCGUGAGAUGUUGGGUUAAGUCCCGCAACGAGCGCAACCCCUGUCGUUAGUUGCCAACGGGUAAGCCGGGCACUCUAACGAGACUGCCGACGUUAAGUCGGAGGAAGGUGGGGGAUGACGUCAAGUCCUCAUGGCCUCAUGCCCAGGGCUACACACGUGCUACAAUGGCCGGUACAAAGGGUCGCUACACCGCGAGGUGAUGCCAAUCUCAAAAAACCGGUCUCAGUUCGGAUAGAAGUCUGCAACUCGACUUCUUGAAGUCGGAAUCGCUAGUAAUCCCGGAUCAGCACGCCGGGGUGAAUACGUUCCCGGGCCUUGUACACACCGCCCGUCACACCAUGGGAGUCAGUUGCUCCAGAAGUGGCUUGCCCAACCCGCAAGGGAGGGCGGUCCCCAAGGAGUGGCUGGUAACUGGGGUGAAGUCGUAACAAGGUAGCCGUAGGGGAACCUGCGGCUGGAUCACCUCCUUUCUGGAGACAUUCAGUCUCAAUCGGUCAAUCUCAACUCCAAUCCUCCUCGCAUUCAGUUUUGAGAGCCCGACCGUUUUCGAACGGCUCAUUUCGGGCCUGUAGCUCAGCUGGUUAGAGCACACGCUUGAUAAGCGUGGGGUCGUUAGUUCAAAUCUAACCAGGCCCACGCGAAACAGAUUCUCUGACAACUGAAUAGAAGACGAAGCGCGAGUACCGGGCAGCUUGUUGUAUCCAGAGCGCUCGGUACCUUUGAGGGUAAAGAAGAAACGCUGAGGAGGUCCGUUGUGAGCGGACUGUUCUCGUCAAGUGAACCUUGGUCUCGACCCCGCAGGGGCAGGAAGCACUGCCCCGAAGGGUUGGUGGUCGAAGCUACUAAGGGCACUCGGUGGAUGCCUUGGCGCCGGGAGGCGAAGAAAGGGCGUGAUGAGCUGCGAUAAGCCGCGCGGAGCCGCAAAGUAGGCGUCGAUGCGCGGAUGC